GACGAACGCUGGCGGCGUGCUUAACACAUGCAAGUCGAACGGAAAGGCCCUGCUUUUGUGGGGUGCUCGAGUGGCGAACGGGUGAGUAACACGUGAGUAACCUGCCCUUGACUUUGGGAUAACUUCAGGAAACUGGGGCUAAUACCGGAUAGGAGCUCCUGCUGCAUGGUGGGGGUUGGAAAGUUUCGGCGGUUGGGGAUGGACUCGCGGCUUAUCAGCUUGUUGGUGGGGUAGUGGCUUACCAAGGCUUUGACGGGUAGCCGGCCUGAGAGGGUGACCGGACACAGUGGUACUGAGAUACGGCGCAGUCUCCUAGGGGAGGCAGCAGUGGGAAAUAUCGCACAAUGGGCGGAAGCGUGAUGCAGCAGCGGCGCGUGCGGGAUGACGGCCUUCGGGUUGUAAACCGCUUUCGCCUGGGACGAAGCGUGAGUGACGGUAAUGGGUAAAGAAGCACCGGCUAACUACG
rnacentral:rRNA from 1 species